rnacentral:sRNA from 1 species
ACCACAUGUGCAAGAUUUGAAUGAAGGCUCGCCUUAUCUCUGUGAUACAUUUAUUUUUUUAACCUAUUUCAAUGACUUGUGCCUAGUGGAAAUCAGGAACUUAGCACACAGCGGAUACUUAGUUUUGGCUUUGUUUAUUACACGUCAGUCCCAGUGUGGUGAAUAUAAGUGCAAAGGGGGGGACAUUUCUAUCCCAGACCCCAAUCCCUUUAUUCUUUUCUUCCAGGCCCCAUCCAUCUCCUAAGCAAAAGCUUCUUCCUUGAGCCCAUGGAGAGCUUGGGUCGCCUCCUGAAGGAGUGAAAUCCGGGAGCGCCCUCUAGAGGACAGCGGGGCUCAAAACCUCAGCUCACAAGAUGUGUGCAGUUAAUUUGUUUGUUCCUCCAGAGAACUGCAGAACAAGCCACCUAUGGUCUUGAGACCUCAGCAGACACCAGGGGAAAAAGGCAGGAAGAGUCCCUAAUGUGUAAAUGUGCCUUGCAGCUGGUGGCAUUCUCUACUGAAGCCACAGUCCCUGCACAAAUGUCCCUUGAAGAGCGGGGAGCGUAUUGAUGUCCUUGACUGAUUUCACCAACCCUUCUGUUGAACCACGGAUGCUGAAAGCCAGGGUCUGAGUCGGGUGUGGAAAGAACAAACCUGAAGGUACAAGAACGAAGUUCAACUGACUUUAGGAAGCAACUAAUUCCUAUCCAGGUCCUUCUUCAGCAUGGAUGGGCUUCCUCCUAGGAGCCAACAUGACCCCUCACCUUUUGCUUUCCUUCUCCUCCCAUGUGAAAAGCCAUUUGGAGAGUUUGGAAGAAGGAGCCUUGUGUACUCAGCUCAACCAGGCAGCAUCUCAAAAAACUUCCCGAUCUGAUAACGGGAAUGGAUGCAAAGCGGCUUGAAGAAGAUACUGUGGAAGCCUUGAGGAAGUUGCAGGUACCGUGUUAAGCGUUCAAGAUGCCGUGGAUACUGUGAUGUGUGCAUCAUGAUUUGUUAACAGCAUCUUAGGGGAGAAGGCCAUAUAUAAUCACAUCUUAUGCCAAUUUAAGGAACAAUCGUUAAGACUUAGAGAUCUUAGGGACACUAGGAAAUCAACCAAUAGUGAACUGACUUAGAGUGUAUUUAACAAAUGUCAGGGUUGCCGGAAGAGCUGUCAUGUAAUCCAGAUCUCUCGAACUCAUCACUAUCAACAUCUGAAGCCGGGCAGAUCUUGGGGUCAGAGCCCAUUAUGCUGUGCAUUUAGUGUGCGUCACGGUAUCUGUGAUCUCUACUCGCCAGAGGCCAGUAGCACCCAUACAGUAGCGAUCAACAAACUUUUCCAGACAUUGGCAGGUAGACAUUCCCUGCAGGAAAAGUUGUCUCCAGUUAAGAACCAUUGAUUUAAAUUGUCCAAGUGACUUGGGUAAUUCCCAGCAACUCUCAGUCAGAACUCUAAAGUCUUGACUGUGACAUAUUCAACAGGCUGCAAGAACCUUGCAGGAUUCCUCCUCUCUCCUCACUCUGCUUCCUACCUCCAGGGCCUUGACCCUCAAACAGCUUCUGCUACUGUUUCCUGUUCCCUCUCCUUCUAGGGCUGUUCACUGGGCUAGGUAAACCAAGGUGUUACAGUGUUUGCCUCUUUCCUCUGGUAAGAACAUUCCCCGGGGGCUCAGCUACUAAAAGCACCUUCUGCAAGUCUGGUACCCUGAAUUCGAGCCUCAGGACCAAGAGGAAUGGUGGCAGAAGAGAACCAAUGUCCAUAAGUCAUCUCUAGUCCACAUACAUACGUGGGGGACACACUGGGGUCCAUGCUGUGGAUGCUCAUUGUCUUAGUCAGGGUUCUCUAGAGUCACAGAACGUAUGGGUAGUCUCUAUACAGUAAGAGAAUUGGUUGAUGACUUAAGUCUGUAGUCAACGCCACAAUAAUGAUCAUCAGCAGCUGUGAAUGGAAGUCCAAGGAUCUAGCGGUGGCUCAGUCCCACAAGGCAGGCAGGCAAAAAAGAGAGACUCCUCCUUCUUCCAAAGUCUUUAUGUAAAUCUCUAGCAGAAGGUGUG